rnacentral:SRP_RNA from 1 species
UGUUGGUUCUCCCGCGAUGCUAACUUGUUAACUUGGUCAGGUCUGGAAAGAAGCAGCCAUAGCAAGGGGUGUAUUGUGCAGGGAUGUCGCUGACAGGA